AUGUAUUCCACCGGAGGCGUCGCCGUCCGCGGCAAGGCGAAGACGACCAAGUCGAUGUCGCGGUCGUCCAAGGCCGGGCUCCAGUUCCCCGUCGGCCGCAUCACGCGUUACCUCAAGGCCGGCAAUGAGCGUGCUCUGGGGCAUGUGGAGGAAGGGGAAGAGGAAGGAGUAUGGUGGGGAAGGGGAAGGCGGAGGAGGUGUACGAGGCCUCGAUCGACCAGGGCACCACCAGCACCAGGUUCAUCAUCUACGACCGCCACGCCAGCCCCGUCGCCUCCCACCACCUCAAGUUCAAGCAGAACUACCCUGAGGCCGGCAGGGUGA
rnacentral:rRNA from 1 species